rnacentral:rRNA from 1 species
CCUACGGGAGGCAGCAGUAGGGAAUAUUGCUCAAUGGGGGAAACCCUGAAGCAGCAACGCCGCGUGGAGGAUGAAGGUUUUCGGAUUGUAAACUCCUUUUGUUAGAGAAGAUAAUGACGGUAUCUAACGAAUAAGCACCGGCUAACUCCGUGCCAGCAGUCGCGGUAAUACGGAGGGUGCAAGCGUUACUCGGAAUCACUGGGCGUAAAGAGCGCGUAGGCGGGAUAGCAAGUCAGAUGUGAAAUCCUAGGGCUUAACCAUAGAACUGCAUUUGAAACUGUUAUUCUAGAGUAUGGGAGAGGUAGGUGGAAUUCUUGGUGUAGGGGUAAAAUCCGUAGAGAUCAAGAGGAAUACUCAUUGCGAAGGCGACCUGCUAGAACAUAACUGACGCUGAUGCGCGAAAGCGUGGGGAGCAAACAGGAUUAGAUACCCCGGUAGUC